CCUAGGCUAGGGCACAUUUACUUAUUCUUAGAAAUCUUGUCUCAUGCUACCCUAGUACUGACAGAUUCAGAUAAUUUAAACAUUCAAUAUUAAUAUCACCACAAACUCAAGAUAAGCAGAUGAUCCUGAAGAAGCUUUGACUGUGCGUAUGGUACCUCAGACGUGAGGGCGGCAGGGUAAGGAGUAUGUUUGUUUCUCUUUAGUUUCACGAGGUCCCCUUUUGGGGUAUUCGACUUUCCAUCGAUGGCAGGUGGUCAGGCAUUAUUAUGGCCAUCAAAACACCCACUUGUUGAUAUUUAUUUAUUUAUUUAUUUUCAACAAGUAUCUUUGUUCUCUAAGAAUGGAGUUUCAAAAAGGGUUGUCAAGAUCAACAAAUGUUACUUCACAUGAUGCAGAGGUAGGCUUGAUUCUGGAAUGAUGAACCCACGGGGUGAUCUCUGUAACUUUCACGGUGCACUACUCAGCAUGUGGUCUUGGUUAUCACUUUGGUGGCUGGAUAGGCCUCUGGCCAUCCUGAAAACAUGUCUGCUAUAAUUAGUGCAUAUUUGAAUCAGCCAUUCUUUGGCAUUCUGGCGACUUGACUCCUCUGGAAGAG